GAGGUAGAGGUUGCGGCUUUUAUCAGUACUUUGCACGAGAAUUUGGAGUUUCAUUUGAUGACUGCAAGGGAAAGGAAAAGUCGCCGAAGUUUGUUCGCCCGCUCCAGGCGGACAAGCUGGGGCUGAUUCCAAACAGGGUCAGCACUGUCACGUUUGUUCUUUGCCCAGACAAACGUGGUGCGCUAUCUU
rnacentral:ncRNA from 1 species